GCCCAGGUAGCUCAGUCGGCAGAGCACACCCUUGGUAAGGGUGAGGUCGCCGGUUCAAGUCCGGUCCUGGGCU
rnacentral:tRNA from 6 species